CCUACGGGAGGCAGCAGUGGGGAAUAUUGGACAAUGGGGGCAACCCUGAUCCAGCCAUGCCGCGUGUGUGAAGAAGGCCCUCGGGUUGUAAAGCACUUUCAGCGAGGAAGAACGCCUAGCGGUUAAUACCCGCUAGGAAAGACAUCACUCGCAGAAGAAGCACCGGCUAACUCCGUGCCAGCAGCCGCGGUAAUACGGAGGGUGCAAGCGUUAAUCGGAAUUACUGGGCGUAAAGCGCGCGUAGGUGGCUUGAUAAGCCGGUUGUGAAAGCCCCGGGCUCAACCUGGGAACGGCAUCCGGAACUGUCAAGCUAGAGUGCAGGAGAGGAAGGUAGAAUUCCCGGUGUAGCGGUGAAAUGCGUAGAGAUCGGGAGGAAUACCAGUGGCGAAGGCGGCCUUCUGGACUGACACUGACACUGAGGUGCGAAAGCGUGGGUAGCAAACAGGAUUAGAUACCCUGGUAGUCCACGCCGUAAACGAUGUCGUCCAGCCGUUGGGUGCCUAGCGCACUUUGUGGCGAAGUUAACGCGAUAAGUCGACCGCCUGGGGAGUACGGCCGCAAGGUUAAAACUCAAAUGAAUUGACGGA
rnacentral:rRNA from 1 species